rnacentral:rRNA from 1 species
AUGCAGCGUAGGAACAUGGAACCUGAUGGUAUAUGUACGACAUGUGGGCUAGAGGAAGAGACGACGCACCAUGCACUCCUACAAUGUCCUCAUGCUAGGCACCUAUGGGAUGCAAUGAGAUCUGUGUGGGAUCUCCCACCGGAUGAAGCACUAUGGAACUCCGAACCUGAUUGGUUGUUCAUGCUAAUACAACAGCCCAAUGACACACAUCGCAUGCUCCUUCUCAUGGUACUCUGGCGGGUGUGGCAUGUGCACAAUGAGCUAAUAGAUGAAAAUCCAUUAAUUACUAUUGAAGCUUCCAAGAAAUUCUUGUGUGGGUAUGAAGACCACCUACUAAUGAUCACACACUAUCCACACGCUGAUUUCACUAAACGCAAGGUUCCCGCUAACCUCAGUGCAAAUACCACAAUAGUAGUUCAUACUGUGACCCACACAAAACCUGAAGUUAAAUGGGAACCCCCACCAGGAGGACAUGUGAAGCUUAAUUUUGGUGGCUCAUUUGUGGCGGAAAAUGGUGUUGCGGGUGCUGGAAUGAUUCGACGGGACCAUGAAGGGCAGGUUAUCUUUGUCGCGUGCAGAUGGAUGUUUGAUUACGAGGGACCCCUAGAACCAGAACUAGCAGCUUGUGAGGAAGGCCUCUGUCUAGCUCUACAUUGGUCUCAAGCCCCACUUUAGGUUGAGACGGACUUUGCCGAGAUCAUCACCCUUGUAAAAGCUGGGCGGCAUGAUCGAUCCGGAAAUAUGCAUCAAGUUGCAGAGAUAGUGCAUCUGCUCAACGAACGCCACACUAAAAUUCGGCGCCCCGUUGGAGUCUCCUACACCUGCUUCUCCGACUCGGCUGCUCCUGGGGGCCACCGAUGA